UGAGUAACACGUAUCCAACCUGCCGUCUACUCUUGGCCAGCCUUCUGAAAGGAAGAUUAAUCCAGGAUGGCAUCAUGAGUUCACAUGUCCGCAUGAUUAAAGGUAUUUUCCGGUAGACGAUGGGGAUGCGUUCCAUUAGAUAGUAGGCGGGGUAACGGCCCACCUAGUCAACGAUGGAUAGGGGUUCUGAGAGGAAGGUCCCCCACAUUGAAACUGAGACACGGUCCAA
rnacentral:rRNA from 1 species